rnacentral:rRNA from 1 species
UUAAAUUGAAGAGUUUGAUCAUGGCUCAGAUUGAACGCUGGCGGCAGGCCUAACACAUGCAAGUCGAACGGUAACAGGAAGCAGCUUGCUGCUUCGCUGACGAGUGGCGGACGGGUGAGUAAUGUCUGGGGAUCUGCCUGAUGGAGGGGGAUAACUACUGGAAACGGUAGCUAAUACCGCAUAACGUCGCAAG